GACGAACGCUGGCGGCGUGCUUAACACAUGCAAGUCGAACGGUAAGGCCCUUCGGGGUACACGAGUGGCGAACGGGUGAGCAACACGUGGGUGAUCUGCCCUGCACUUCGGGAUAAGCCUGGGAAACUGGGUCUAAUACCGGAUAGGACCCUGGGAUGCAUGUCCUGGGGUGGAAAGCUUUUGCGGUGUGGGAUGGGCCCGCGGCCUAUCAGCGUGUGGGUGGGGUGAUGGCCUACCAAGGCGACGGCGGGUAGCCGGCCUGAGAGGGUGACCGGCCACACUGGGAGUGAGAUGCGGCCCAGACUCCUAGGGGAGGCAGCAGUGGGGAAUAGUGCACAAUGGGCGCAAGCCGGGUGCAGCGACGCCGCGUGAGGGAUGACGGCCUUCGGGUUGUAAACCUCUUUCAGCACCGACGAAGCGCAAGUGACGGUAGGUGCAGAAGAAGGACCGGCCAACUACGUGCCAGCCGCCGCCGUAA
rnacentral:rRNA from 1 species